rnacentral:rRNA from 1 species
CCCUUAGAUGUUCUGGGCCGCACGCGCGCUACACUGACGAAUGCAACGAGCUUAUAACCUUGGCCGAAAGGUCUGGGUAAUCUCCAAAUUUCGUCGUGAUGGGGAUAGAUUAUUGCAAUUAUUAAUCUUCAACGAGGAAUGCCUAGUAAGCGCAAGUCAUCAGCUUGUGUUGAUUACGUCCCUGCCCUUUGUACACACCGCCCGUCGCUCCUACCGAUUGAAUGGUCCGGUGAAGCGCUCGGACCGCGGCCUCUUGACGGUUUUCCGUCGAUUGGCUGUGGGAAGUUCGUUAAACCUUAUCAUUUAGAGGAAGGAGAAGUCGUAACA